UGCCAGUUAGGUUAUUCACUAAAGUGAUUACGAAGUUAAUUUUACAUUUAUAGCCAGAGUAGCUGAACUGAAAGCAUAGCUUUGAAUUAUCACAUGCUCACAUUAGUAAAUAACCCUAUUAGUUUUCAGUUUUAUCUCUUUCAUUCUUUCUUGUUUGUUUUUCCCCUUCUCUCCCAAAUUUCCUUAAAAGUGGUUUGUUGCUCCCCUCUGACUGUGCCUGUAGUAUGGCAACGCCUGCUACUUGCUUGUCUGGCCAGUGCCGGUAUUGCAAAAAUAAUGGCAAUGCAAAGACAAUUAUUGUUUUCUGGCGGGAUUCUAGGAGAGUGGUGAGAGAAAUGAAACCAGAACAUCCAUCUCUAUUAUACAUGGCAGGUACACUCAUUGCAGUACAAACACAAUGGCAGCCUCCACGCAGACACUGUGUAGGAAAAAAACACACAUUGCCACACACACUCACAUUAUGCAUACACUGACAAAAAG